GGGGUCGUACCGGUUUCGACUGUGAUGAAAAGGGGAGGCAUAAGCAUACCGAAGCGCCUUACUUCGUUAAAAAGGGCACAAUAAAAUUAAAUGCUGACAAUCAUAAUCAACGUUUAGCGUUUGCCGCUUAAUUUAAAAGCGACUGUCCGCCCGCGUCUUUCCCGUCGGAUGCGGAUACGGGCAUAAUUUCAGGCGGGGAACUACCUUUGCCGAUCGAAAACACGGCAUUGGCAGAUAAUUUGUUUUCGGGCGCCGCGCGUAAAAUGCGUCUUACCGUCGCGUGCGGAACAGUUCAAGUUAAGACUAAGUAUGUAGAAGGCUUUUCGGUUUCUUCGCAACACGAGAGUUCAACUCUCUCCGACUCCACCA
rnacentral:tmRNA from 1 species